GAGUUUGAUUCUGGCUCAGGAUGAACGCUGGCGGCGUGCCUAACACAUGCAAGUCGAGCGGGAAAUUUCGGAAUGAAACUUCGGUAGAAUGAAGAAAUGGAGAGCGGCGGACGGGUGAGUAACGCGUAGGCAACCUGCCCCGUACAGAGGGAUAGCCUCGGGAAACCGGGAUUAAAACCUCAUAACGCAUUCAGCCCGCAUGGGAAGGAUGCCAAAGAUUUAUCGGUAUGGGAUGGGCCUGCGUCUGAUUAGUUAGUUGGUGAGGUAACGGCUCACCAAGGCGACGAUCAGUAGCCGACCUGAGAGGGUAAUCGGCCACAUUGGAACUGAGACACGGUCCAAACUCCUACGGGAGGCAGCAGUGGGGAAUAUUGCACAAUGGGCGAAAGCCUGAUGCAGCAACGCCGNAAUGAGCGAAGAAGGCCUUUGGGUCGUAAAGACUCUGUCCUAUGGGAAGAAGAAAGUGACCGUACCNAGAGCGCC
rnacentral:rRNA from 1 species